rnacentral:rRNA from 1 species
AACGAACGCUGGCGGCAUGCCUAACACAUGCAAGUCGAACGAAGCCUUCGGGCUUAGUGGCGCACGGGUGCGUAACGCGUGGGAAUCUGCCCUUCGGUUCGGAACAACAGUUAGAAAUGACUGCUAAUACCGGAUGAUGACGUAAGUCCAAAGAUUUAUCGCCGAAGGAUGAGCCCGCGUAGGAUUAGCUAGUUGGUAAGGUAAAAGCUUACCAAGGCGACGAUCCUUAGCUGGUCUGAGAGGAUGAUCAGCCACACUGGGACUGAGACACGGCCCAGACUCCUACGGGAGGCAGCAGUGAGGAAUAUUGGACAAUGGGCGAAAGCCUGAUCCAGCAAUGCCGCGUGAGUGAUGAAGGCCUUAGGGUUGUAAAGGCUCUUUUACCAGGGAUGAUAAUGACAGUACCUGGAGAAUAAGCUCCGGCUAACUCCGUGCCAGCAGCCGCGGUAAU